GCUGGGUGCGGUGGCUCACGCCUGUAAUCCCAGCACUUUGGGAGGCCGAGGUGGGUGGAUCACCUGAGGUCAGGAGUUCGAGACAAGCCUGGCCAAUAUGGUGAAACCCCAUCUCUA
ensembl:misc_RNA Metazoa_SRP Metazoan signal recognition particle RNA